UACGUAGGGUGCGAGCGUUGUCCGGAAUUAUUGGGCGUAAAGAGCUUGUAGGCGGUUUGUCGCGUCUGCUGUGAAAAUCCGGGGCUCAACCCCGGACUUGCAGUGGGUACGGGCAGACUAGAGUGUGGUAGGGGAGACUGGAAUUCCUGGUGUAGCGGUGAAAUGCGCAGAUAUCAGGAGGAACACCGAUGGCGAAGGCAGGUCUCUGGGCCGAUACUGACGUGAGGAGCGAAAGCGUGGGGAGCGAACAGG
rnacentral:rRNA from 1 species